rnacentral:tRNA from 1 species
ACUUAAAUAGCUUAAUUUUAGAGCAUAACUUUGAAGAUGUUAAGGUAACUUUGGUUUUUAAGUA